GGCUUGAAGAAAACCUAUCAUCUCCUUUGUGGCAUGGCAAAUAGAUGGAAUGAGAAAAAAAGGGGUAACCAUAACUUUUUUCGUAGGGCAUAUGAAUCUCGUGGACAGGUAAUGGGCACGCUAUUGAAAGGUGCAUGAAACCCGAACGAUACAAAGGAAAGAAAUUGAAAAGGCACAUGAAACCCCAAUAACACGAAGGAAAAAGUUGAAAGAAAGGAAAAUGUAAAAUUCAUGGGAAUGCAAAGACAUUGAUUGCAUCAUGACGGGGCAACGCAUCAUGAUUGGU
rnacentral:lncRNA from 1 species